GGUGCUAUGCGCAAAUUGGAAUAGCGACUGAGCUCAAACCUCAGUGAUUGUGGGUUCGAAUCCCCCUGGCACCA
rnacentral:tRNA from 1 species